GAUGAAGAACGUAGCGAAAUGCGAUAAGUAAUGUGAAUUGCAGAAUUCAGUGAAUCAUCGAAUCUUUGAACGCACAUUGCGCCCCUUGGUAUUCCGAUGGGCAUGCCUGUUCGAGCGUCAUUAUAACCCCUCAAGCUCAGCUUGGUGUUGGGGCCUGCUGCACUGGCAGCCCUUAAAAUCAGUGGCGGCGCCAUCUGGCUCUAAGCGUAGUAAUUCUUCUCGCUAUGGAGUCCUGGUGGAUGCUUGCCAUCAACCCCCAAUUUUUCUAUGGUUGACCUCGGAUCAGGUAGGGAUACCCGCUGAACUUAAGCAUAUCAAUAAGCGGAGGA
rnacentral:misc_RNA from 1 species